GGCCGCCAUGGUGAGGAGUGCGUCCUUGGCCCUCGUCGUGUCUAUCCUGCGGCUUUUGCACAUCCGCGAAAUGAUCUCCGCGGCGGCCGUCACAGCCCCAGGCUCCUCCACCUACUCGCCCAGGGAAACAGUCACUAAUUACCUUGCUGGGCCCUUCCUCCCUCUGCUAAUUCCUCCGAGGCUGUUGUUCUUGAGUCUUUACGAAGCAACAUCAACUCAAGAACUUCUGACUUUUAACCCAUUCACUGCUAGACAAUUCUUUUUCCAUAAUCACACUACCUACUCUGUUUUGUAUUCUUAUUUUUCAUACGACAUCCUUAAAGAAGAAACAAUGUAAGAAUGAGAAAACAAGGGAAGGGAAGGUGCAAGAAGUCUUCAGGUCUACACAUGGCUGCUUCCCCUUUAUAUUUCUUUAUGCAUACUUAUUUAUGAUAUCACAGUCUUCUGAAUAUGAAAGGACAUGAAUAAGAAAAAAAAAAUAAGUGCAGCUGCAAGAAUCCAUGAGGGUUACACGCUUUAGUUUAACUGUUUCUUAUGUUUUAAUAGUUUUGUAGCUUAGAAAAGACAGAAUUAAUCUUGUAUUCUCCAAAUUUUUCCGUGGCCAUGCUGUUUUUACAACGGUCUGAAUGUAAACAAAAGUAAAAGUAAAAGGGAAGAGGGAAAAAAAGAGGAAAAUAAAACAAAUAACCUCUUUUCUUCUCAUUUUUCCAUGUACGAGCAGUUUUUCUUUUUAAAGCGGCUUGAAUGUAAACAAAGGAACUGUAAAAGGGUAAAGAAAAAAAAGGGGAAGUGGUACAGAAAAAAAAAAAAGAGGAAGGCAAAAAAGAAAAGCGAGGCCCUGAAAUCGACGUUCGGAAAGUGGACUGCAUUAAGGCGAUGAAUGUCUCUCUUGUCAAUAAAGUGAACUCAAGUAUCCGUGAGCCAA